rnacentral:rRNA from 1 species
UGGGGAAUAUUGGACAAUGGGCGCAAGCCUGAUCCAGCCAUGCCGCGUGGGUGAUGAAGGCCCUAGGGUUGUAAAGCCCUUUCAGCGGGGAAGAUAAUGACGGUACCCGCAGAAGAAGCCCCGGCUAACUUCGUGCCAGCAGCCGCGGUAAUACGAAGGGGGCUAGCGUUGCUCGGAAUUACUGGGCGUAAAGCGCACGUAGGCGGCUUUCUAAGUCGGGGGUGAAAUCCUGGAGUUCAACUCCAGAACUGCCUUCGAUACUGGAAAGCUCGAGUCCGGGAGAGGUGAGUGGAACUGCGAGUGUAGAGGUGAAAUUCGUAGAUAUUCGCAAGAACACCAGUGGCGAAGGCGGCUCACUGGCCCGGUACUGACGCUGAGGUGCGAAAGCGUGGGGAGCAAGCAGGAUUAGAUACCCUGGUAGUCCACGCCGUAAACGAUGGAUGCUAGCCGUUGGCGAGCUUGCUCGUCAGUGGCGCAGCUAACGCUUUAAG